GAUCUUCCACAAUGGGCGAAAGCCUGAUGGAGCGACGCCGCGUGAGGGAUGAAGGUCUUCGGAUCGUAAACCUCUGUCUUCCGGGACGAUAAUGACGGUACCGGAGGAGGAAGCCACGGCUAACUACGUGCCAGCAGCCGCGGUAAUACGUAGGUGGCAAGCGUUGUCCGGAAUUACUGGGCGUAAAGGGUGCGUAGGCGGUGCCUUAAGUCUCGUGUGAAACCUAUCGGCUUAACCGUGGGAUUGCAUUUGAAACUGGAGGGCUUGAGUGUCGGAGAGGGUAGUGGAAUUCCCAGUGUAGCGGUGAAAUGCGUAGAUAUUGGGAGGAACACCAGUGGCGAAGGCGACUACCUGGACGAUAACUGACGCUGAGGCACGAAAGCUAGGGGAGCAAAC
rnacentral:rRNA from 1 species